rnacentral:rRNA from 1 species
GAGUAGCAAUACAAGGGAAGUUCAGUGGCGGACGGGUGAGUAAUGCAUAGGUAACGUGCCUCGAGCUCAGGGAUAGCGGCGCCCCGCAAGGGGCUUUAGCGAAAGUGCCGGUAAUACCUGAUGACGUUUUGGAGUCACAUGACUCCUCUACCAAAGGUGGGGACCUUCGGGCCUGCCGACUCGAGAUCGGCCUAUGUCCUAUCAGCUAGUUGGUGAGGUAACGGCCCACCAAGGCUAUGACGGGUAACCGGCGUGAGAGCGCGACCGGUCACAUCGGGACUGAGACACUGCCCGGACACCUACGGGUGGCUGCAGCAACGAAUAUUCCGCAAUGGGCGAAAGCCUGACGGAGCGACGCCGCGUGAAGGAUGAAGUCCCUUCGGGAUGUAAACUUCAAUAGUACGCCAGGAAUCGAUCCUGGCUAAUACCCGGGAAAGUUGACCAGCGUACGAAAGAGGCGGCUAACUCCGUGCCAGCAGCCGCGGUAAUACGGAGGCCUCGAGCGUUGUUCGGAAUCACUGGGCUUAAAGCGCGUGUAGGCGGAGUGGCAAGUACCUUGUGAAAUCCCCGGCUUCAAUCCGGGAACUGCUUGGUAUACUGUCAUUCUUGAGGCAGGUAGGGGUCACUGGAACCUUAGGUGGAGCGGUGAAAUGCGUAGAUAUCUAAGGGAACGCCUGUGGCGAAAGCGGGUGACUGGGCCUGACCUGACGCUGAGACGCGAAAGCGUGGGGAGCAAACGGGAUUAGAUACCCCGGUAGUCUACGCCGUAAACGAUGCGCACUAGGUUCGAGAGGUUCUGACACUUCUCGAGCCGAAACAAAAGCGUUAAGUGCGCCGCCUGGGGAGUACGGCCGCAAGGCUAAAACUCAAAGGAAUUGACGGGGGCUCACACAAGCGGUGGAGCAUGUGGAUCAAUUCGAAGCAACGCGAAGAACCUUACCUGGGUUUGACAUUCACGGAUGCCGUCCUGGAAACAGGAGCCGGCUGCCUUCGGGUGAAACGUGGACAGGUGCUGCAUGGCUGUCGUCAGCUCGUGCUGUGAAGUGUCGGGUUAAGUCCCUUAACGAGCGAAACCCUUGUCGCUAGUUGCCAGCGGGUC